GGUGAAGAACUCUGGAAUGAGUCUUUGCCAAAAAGACGUUUACGUUAUGCUCGUAGGCGUCGCCCAAGGAUGAGGCCGCGACCGAUCAGGUUGUUGGUGAGGUAAUGGCUCACCAAGCCUUUUACCGGUGCGGGCCGUGAGAGCGGGAGCCCGGAGAUGGGCACUGAGACAAGGGCCCAGGCCCUACGGGGCGCAGCAGUCGCGAAAACUUUGCAAUACACGAAAGUGUGACAGGGCUAUCCCGAGUGCCAUCCGCUGAGGAAGGCUUUUACCCAGUCUAGAACGCUGGGGGAAUAAGGAGAGGGCAAGUCUGGUGUCAGCCGCCGCGGUAAUACCAGCUCUCCGAGUGGUGUGGAUGUUUAUUGGGCCUAAAGCAUCCGUAGCUGGCUGAGUUAGUCCCUUGUUAAAUCCACCGAAUUAAUCGUUGGAUUGCGGGGGAUACUGCUCGGCUAGGGGACGAGAGAGGCAGACGGUAUUUCUGGGGUAGGGGUGAAAUCCUAUAAUCCCAGGAGGACCACCAGUGGCGAAGGCUGUCUGCUAGAACGCGCCCGACGGUGAGGGAUGAAAGCUGGGGGAGCGAACCGGAUUAGAUACCCGGGUAGUCCCAGCUGUAAACGAUGCAGACUAGGUGUUUGGACGGCCACGUGCCGUUCUAGUGCCGCAGGGAAGCUG
rnacentral:rRNA from 1 species